rnacentral:snoRNA from 1 species
AUUUCGUGAUGAGAACACUUAAUUAAUAGACCAUUAAACCUUUCCCAACACUCUAAAAAAUGUUCACCUUCUUUUUGUUGAAAGUUAGUAAUCUCUCGUCGAAGAAC